GCAUUGUUGACGAGUCCCAAAUAGGACGAAACAGCUGUCCAAUGC
rnacentral:hammerhead_ribozyme from 1 species